UACGGAGGGAGCGAGCGUUGUCCGAAGUUACUGGGCGUAAAGCGCGCGUAGGCGGGGGAUUAAGUGAGAAGUGAAAGGCUGAGGCUCAACCUCAUGCAGUGCUUCUCAUACUGGUCCUCUUGAGGGUGGUAGAGAGAAGUGGAAUGGCUGGUGUAGCGGUGAAAUGCGUAGAUAUCGGGAGGAACACCUGUGGCGAAAGCGGCUCUCUGGACCACAACUGACGCUGAGGCGCGAAAGCUAGGGGAGCAAGCAGG
rnacentral:rRNA from 1 species